AGCCUACGGGGGGCAGCAGUGGGGGAUAUUGCACAAUGGGGGAAACCCUGAUGCAGCAACGCCGCGUGAGUGAAGAAGUCAUUCGUGAUGUAAAGCUCUAUCAGCAGGGAAGAAAAUGACGGUACCUGAGUAAGAAGCCCCGGCUAACUACGUGCCAGCAGCCGCGGUAAUACGUAGGGGGCAAGCGUUAUCCGGAUUUACUGGGUGUAAAGGGAGCGUAGGCGGCAGGGCAAGCCUGAUGUGAAAGCCCGGGGCUCAACCCCGGGACUGCAUUGGGAACUGCCCCGCCCGAGUGCCGGAGGGGC
rnacentral:rRNA from 1 species